CCUGGGAUCAUGACCUGAGCCGAAAUCAAGAGUCUGAGCCACCCAGGCGCCCCAUCUAUAUUUUAAAGCAAGUCCAAACAUACCCUCUCUCAGUCAAGGCUUCAGCUUGCUUCUCUGAAAAAUAAGACCUUUUCUUACAUCAAGACCAUUACCAUUAUGAAGGCCGACAAAAUGGUAAUUAACAGUAAUUUUGUAAUGUUACCUAAUCGUCAGUCCAUAUUCAAAUUUCCUCACAGUCCCCUGAACGGGCUCUCUGCCUGUCCCUGGGGCCAACCAGGGUUAACUAUUUUCAGUUUGGGUGCUUCUGGUGAUUACCUUCGCCCACCAGUUUAUACCCCCUAAUGCAGCUAGUGUGUCCUCGCUUUCUGCCAUGAUGGAGGAGGGUGAGGCGAGUUAGAUUCUCUCUUCCUUCCACUGUGGUAUUUCCCCCCUUUAGUUCCUCUGUUAUUCACACCUAUUAAGGUUCUGUUUGGAGUUGAACUGUGUACUCCCUUCCCCCUCAAAAAGAUACGUUGAAGUCCAAGCUGCUGAUACCCGCGAGUGUGACCUUAUUUGGCAUUAGGGUCUUUGCAGAUGUUAUCGAGUAAAGACGAGGUCAUGGUGGAGUAGAGCAGGCCCUAAACCCAAUGACUGGCAUCCUUGUAAGGAGAGAGAGCUUUGGAAACAGACACUCACAAAGCGGGAAGACAGCCUUGUGGAGAUGAAGACAGAGAUUGGAGUGGUGCAGCCACGAGCCAAGGAGGACGGGGGUUGCUAGCCACCAUUUUGGGGGGGCGGAGCUGGAAGAGCGAGGCAGGAAUCUCUCUGGAGCCUCCAGCGGGAGCACGGCCCUGCUGACAUCUUGAUUUCAGACUCCUGACCUCCAGACUGUACGAGAGAAAUUACUGUUGUGUUAAGCCACUCCAUUUGUGGCGAUUAGUUCUGGCAACCCCAGGAAACUAACACGGUUCCUCUACUUUUGGAACAUUUCCGUAAGGGAAAACUUGGUUUUCCACCUUCCUGUGCAGGGAAAACCCUCCUCCCUACUGCGUUCCUCCCCAUGACCCUCCUUUACCACCCAUAUAAAACACUUUAUUUCUGAUCACCAAAUGUGGUGGGGUGAGGGUGGGGGCGGGUGUUGUCCCCUCAACAAGCAAUUGUCUGCUACACCAGCUUGGUGGCUUACAAUUUACUUUCAUUCUAACACUACCCAGACAUGGUGUCAGAUCCCACAGGUUAAGGGCUCAAUCCCACAAAACUGCCCCUCAACCCACACACACACACACACACACACACAUACACACACACAUGCACACUCACUUCUGAUGCCAGUUGAAAGUCUAGAUUAUCACCUACACCUCUCACCAACCGGCUACCGAUUGCACAUUCCAACGACCUUCUCCUUGGGUUCGAUUGAUUUGUUAGAGCAACUGCAUCAGGGAAACACAUUUACCAGUUUAUUAAAGCAUAGGACACUGGACACAGCUGAAUGUCCACACGGAAGAGAUGCAUGGGACAGGUAUGGGGGAAGGGGUGCGGAGCCCCGAUGCCCCCUCUGGUCGCACCACGUUCCCAGCGCCUCCCUCCACGUGUCCACCAACCUGGAAGCUCUCAGAACCCUGUACUUUUGGGAUUUUAAGGAGGCUUCAUCACGCAGGCGUGAUUGAUCACUGACGCCACUUCUCAAGAGAAUGGGAGGCAGGGCUGAAAAUUCCAAGCUUCUAGUUUCGGCUUGGGCUUUCCAGCGACCAGCCCUCAUCCAGGAGCCACGCAGAGUCACCUCGUUAGAACAAAAGACACUCCUGUCCACGCAGGAAAUUACAAGGGUUUCAGGAGCUCUGUGUUAGGAGCUGGGGGCAGAGACCAGUAUGCACGUCUUUUUACAAAUCACAAUAUUAUAAUCACGUAAAGUACUUACGCCUCUAUUUCUUGUUCCAUCGACUACUGCUUGACUCCCUACUUUGUACGAUGAGGGUAAAAACCAAAGGUUUAAACACAGCUGGAUGGACCCAGGGUGUGAGAAGUCAGAGUGAUUGCCAGCAACACUAGGCAAAGGGUGGAUGCCUUCUGGUCCCGGGGCCGGGACCUUCUCAGCCUGCAGAGACGCUGGCCACCUGGAUGCCGUGUCCACAGCAACGUGUCCCAGCAAGAGGAGCAGACGUUUGAGGGAGAGAACUGCCCAGAGUCGAGUUGAGAAAACCAGCUAAGACAGGCGCCACUGGCCAAGGUUGCACAGUGGCUCAGUGGCAGACCCAGUGAACCUGAUGUUGUGGGGACUCCUACAGUCUUCCCUUCCCACCUCCAGACCCCCUUCCUUUGAGGACGCUAAACCAGUGCGGCUGUGAACUGCAGGCCUCAGUGAGCGCAAUUAAAGAUGCUUUGUUGAAAAUUUGA